UGACACGAUAUGUCCCCCCAAGACAGCCAGAACCACAGCCACGAACAAAGGCCACCGAAAGCGGCCGCUGCAACUUCUGCCAGCCCAUCCUUCGAUCAGUGACUGUCUGUCCAAGCUUGGCAGUAAGUCCACCUGUCUUAUGAACCCUUGUAGCCAAGGAUGACUGAUUGAGAUAGCCCGGGUCACCUUCCUCGUGUCACUCUGAAAGGCUUCUCCUUGCCUUGACCGUUACGAAAUGCCCAUCCUGGAAGGACCGGACAGCGUCAUCUCUUUAUCAGAGUCACCAUUUACCCCGUCUAGACUUCCUGUGUGUGUCUUUCUCAUUCUGCACAGUGGGCACGGGAGGCACAGAGCGUUCCACUAGUCUGGGAAGAUCUCAAAGCAAGAUGGUCACCUGUGGAAGCCAUUGCUCUCCGUCUGGAAGGAUAGGAAGGACAAGUCCAGCGGGGAGGCUGGGGGAUGGGCUGAUGUUCUCUCCAUGCCUAGAGAGACAUCGGCCCACCAUAUUCUAGUCAUCUCCUUUGCAGCCGGAGCCUCGGGGUGAAUCUUUCUUUACCUUGGAAAAGCCACAGGAACUAAUCAAAGAUGAUGCCUGGCCAGCCAUCUCCGAAGGAGCUUCCAACUCUAUGUUUACACGGCAUGUUCUUGUUCAGCAGGUGACCGGGGCAAGCCACUGCAAUGAUAGAUUGUAAAAUAAACGGUACCACUCAAAGCAUUGUCAUUAUCAUGUCGUAGGCUCUUGGCAGUUUCUCCAGUCUGGCUUGUUUUAUAUCUAAUUACAUUUCGCUGUGCAUGUCCCCCAUAUGUUAUCUUUCACAUAAUAAAUACAUGGAAAAUCCCCCUGUUUUUCCGUCAGCCGCU
rnacentral:lncRNA from 1 species